AUUGAACGCUGGCGGCAUGCUUUACACAUGCAAGUCGGACGGCAGCACAGAGAAGCUUGCUUCUUGGGUGGCGAGUGGCGAACGGGUGAGUAAUAUAUCGGAACGUACCGAGUAAUGGGGGAUAACUAAUCGAAAGAUUAGCUAAUACCGCAUAUUCUCUGAGGAGGAAAGCAGGGGACCUUCGGGCCUUGCGUUAUUCGAGCGGCCGAUAUCUGAUUAGCUAGUUGGUGGGGUAAAGGCCUACCAAGGCGACGAUCAGUAGCGGGUCUGAGAGGAUGAUCCGCCACACUGGGACUGAGACACGGCCCAGACUCCUACGGGAGGCAGCAGUGGGGAAUUUUGGACAAUGGGCGCAAGCCUGAUCCAGCCAUGCCGCGUGUCUGAAGAAGGCCUUCGGGUUGUAAAGGACUUUUGUCAGGGAAGAAAAGGCUGUUGCUAAUACCGACAGCUGAUGACGGUACCUGAAGAAUAAGCACCGGCUAACUACGUGCCAGCAGCCGCGGUAAUACGUAGGGUGCGAGCGUUAAUCGGAAUUACUGGGCGUAAAGCGAGCGCAGACGGUUACUUAAGCAGGAUGUGAAAUCCCCGGGCUCAACCUGGGAACUGCGUUCUGAACUGGGUGACUAGAGUGUGUCAGAGGGAGGUAGAAUUCCACGUGUAGCAGUGAAAUGCGUAGAGAUGUGGAGGAAUACCGAUGGCGAAAGCAGCCUCCUGGGAUAACACUGACGUUCAUGCUCGAAAGCGUGGGUAGCAACAGG
rnacentral:rRNA from 1 species